rnacentral:rRNA from 1 species
GUGAGGAAUUUUGCGCAAUGGGGGCAACCCUGACGCAGCGACGCCGCGUGGAGGACGAAGUCUUUCGGGAUGUAAACUCCUGUCAGUGGGGACGAUAAUGACGGUACCCACAGAGGAAGCACCGGCUAACUCCGUGCCAGCAGCCGCGGUAAGACGGAGGGUGCAAGCGUUGUUCGGAAUUACUGGGCGUAAAGCGUAUGUAGGCGGCAAGUUAAGUUCAAUGUUAAAGCCCACGGCUCAACCGAGGAGAUGCAUUGAAUACUGGCUAGCUAGAGGGUGUUAGAGGAAGACGGAAUUCCCAGUGUAGCGGUGAAAUGCGUAGAUAUUGGGAGGAACAUCGGUAGCGAAAGCGGUCUUCUGGGACAUACCUGACGCUGAGGUACGAAAGCGUGGGGAGCAAACGGGAUUAGAAACCCUGGUAGUCC